GGGGAAUAUUGGACAAUGGGGGCAACCCUGAUCCAGCAAUGCCGCGUGUGUGAAGAAGGUCUUCGGAUUGUAAAGCACUUUCGACGGGGACGAUGAUGACGGUACCCGUAGAAGAAGCCCCGGCUAACUUCGUGCCAGCAGCCGCGGUAAUACGAAGGGGGCUAGCGUUGCUCGGAAUGACUGGGCGUAAAGGGCGUGUAGGCGGUUUACACAGUCAGAUGUGAAAUCCCCGGGCUUAACCUGGGAGCUGCAUUUGAUACGUGUAGACUAGAGUGUGAGAGAGGGUUGUGGAAUUCCCAGUGUAGAGGUGAAAUUCGUAGAUAUUGGGAAGAACACCGGUGGCGAAGGCGGCAACCUGGCUCAUGACUGACGCUGAGGCGCGAAAGCGUGGGGAGCAAACAGGAUUAGAUACCCUGGUAGUCCACGCUGUAAACGAUGUGUGCUAGAUGUUGGGUAACUUUGU
rnacentral:rRNA from 1 species